rnacentral:lncRNA from 1 species
GCUGUCGCCGAGCGUCGGAGCCCGAGGGGCCGCGGCCGCGCGCCGCGGGGGGAGGAGAUGGUCUGGAGUCCCCCCGCUGCGCCGGGGAUGGGGAGACGGAGGACUGCAGCGCCCCUUGGGGCUUCUGAGGCGCCCAGGUAACCUCACCUGGCCGCCAGUCUCCCGCAGGAGGAACAGACACGUUGGUUCCACACCGAACCUAUUAACAGCUCAACUUCAAAUAUUUGAGGUGGGAUUGCUGUUCACUAAGGUUAUAUGAGCCAGCUUGGUUACUCAAAUGUGAAAAUGCAUAUUUUCCAGCCUGUGGCAAGGUGGAAACAUCAGGGCAGAAGAACAUAACUGAUAAUAGCUGUUCACACCUAAGUAGCCAGGAAGCAGAGAGAAAUGGAGACCAGCCUACGAGGACACAUUCCUAGUGACCUUCUUCCCAACUUUGGGUGUCCACCAAUUCACAAGAACACCAUUAAUUACGAAUUCAUCAACAAAUCAAUUCAUCAAUUAAGUUAAAGCUCCCAUGUGCAAUCACUUCCCUACAUCCUCCCGUCUGAACAUCCUCACCAUUGAGAAUCAAGCCUUCAACACGAGUCUGGGCACAAUAAGUCACAUUGAAUCCAUUGAAGAUGUAAAUUUUAACGGUUGAAAGUGACAAGCAUAGUAUGUCUGUGAAAGUCAGUAAAGGGAAUAUGGAAGGGAACGUGUACUAAAACUAAGGGUUCUGGAACGCAUCUGUGCUCUUCCUAUCAAUCUGGAGAGUGUGACAAGGAAGUCUUAAGUUCAAGGCCAGCUGGGCUAUGUAGUGUAUGCUACCAUUGACUAUAUAAUCUGACUCCAGCAUUACAAGAAGUAGAGUAAAUAAAAGAUUAAAAAAAAUAGUGACUAUAGAAGUAUCAAGAUAUUAUGACUCAUUCAUAUGAUUUCUGCAAUUGAUUUAGUAUGGCAUAUGAUUUAGUAAUCAAAGUGGAUGAAGAUGAUAUAUAUGCAUUAAUAAGAAUAAGUAUGCGAGACUGAACACAGAAUGUCCACUAGACACUGGGCAGUAAUUAGAUUCAACUCUUGUAAAAAUGUUCAACAGGAAGAAAAAAACCUAUAACUUUGCUUUAUACUUGGAUAGUUACUUUCAGUCAUACGGGUAUGGAAUAAAAUGAAAGGAAAAUGCAGAUGGGAUCUGAAGGCCAGCCUUCUAUUAUACUAUUAAAUUGUAGUGCAGG